rnacentral:rRNA from 1 species
UACGUAGGGGGCAAGCGUUGUCCGGAUUUACUGGGCGUAAAGAGCGUGUAGGCGGCCAAGCAGGUCAGCUGUGAAAACUCGAGGCUCAACCUCGAGACGUCGGUUGAAACCGCUUGGCUAGAGUCCGGAAGAGGAGAGUGGAAUUCCCGGUGUAGCGGUGAAAUGCGCAGAUAUCGGGAAGAACACCCGUGGCGAAGGCGGCUCUCUGGGACGGUACUGACGCUGAGACGCGAAAGCGUGGGGAGCGAACAGG